GCUUUCCGGGACCGGGAGAGAACGGCGUGGGUUGAGGAGAGCUAGCGGUACCCUUGGCAACGCCACCUGGCUGCGUGCAGGGAGGGGGGUCCCCAUUUCCGGGGUGAGAGGUCAGCGGCGCCAGCAGGCGGGGCUGGAGGAGAAGGAGAAGCCACUUCAGCCGUAGGGAGAAGACGCCGGGUGAAAAGAUGGCUGAGGCGGUGCAGAA